rnacentral:lncRNA from 1 species
UGUUACGCACGCCAACCUUACAACUGAUACAAAGAAAGACCAUCACAAAGGGCAGUAACAAAAGCACACACGAAUAGUUUUCAUAAAACAUAAGGAAUCCAACUUUGACAAGAUAAGUAACGAUCUCUUGAAAAAAAGAAUAUCUAAGCAACACAUGAUAGUUUAAAACAGAUAAAAACAACAACAAAAGAAACAACAAAUGCAUCACAUGACCAUCAAUCUUGUGAUCUAAUUUGUGAUCCACCUUGUGAUCCUCCCUAAUAGAACACAUAAAAAAUUGAGAUUUUCUAGAAUCGAUAUGAUAUAAAAUCAGACAGACAAUAAAAGUGCACCUGAUCAUUCUUUGGCCGACCCCUUGGACGUUUUGGUUCAGGUUGAACACUUGGUUUUGAGCAUCUCGGCUUGGUAUGUCCUUUCUUCUCUACAAUUAGAGCAUGUCAUGACACGCUUCUCACGGCUUAACUUGGUUUUACUAGAGGAAGAGGAUGAUUCAUUUGCGCUUUUCCGUCUGGAAUAAGUGCUUGGUCUUCCUCUAUUACUUAACCUAUUUGGUGGAGGCAAGACUGGUAACAUGUUCAGCAUAGGCCAUAAGUUUAUCCCUUCUACAUGCCUAA